CCAAUAGCGUAUAUUAAAGUUGCUGCAGUUAAAAAGCUCGUAGUUGAAUUUCGGGACUAAUAUGUCGGUCGUGCCUCGGUACGUACUGGCUUAUUGGUUUCUCCUUUCUGAAGAACCAUGAUGUCAUUUAUUUGGUGUCGUGGGGAAUCAGGACUGUUACUUUGAAAAAAUUAGAGUGUUUAAAGCAGGCUCACGCUUGA
rnacentral:rRNA from 1 species